CCUGGAAGAGUUUCGGGCCGGGACGUGCGGCGGCGCGCUGGGGCCUCGGCUGUUGCGUGCAGAGAAGCUGUCAGCCUUGUGAGAGAGCAUGCAGCCGGCAAGCGCAUCGUGGUGCUUCGGUACCGAGCUGAUACCGCAGGCGUCCGUCUUUUGUUUGCGAAAAGGGAUCGCGAGGAAAGGUGCUGACGUUGGAGGGGGAAAGGUGGCGGGAGAACAGAUAGGAGGCAGCUUUCAACCGGUUUUAGGCUUAACUCCUGUGUUCCUGAGCACGGUUCUGGGCUUCGAGGGGUUUGCUUUUGGCUUUUUGCCUUCAGCGCGUCCUCCGUCACCGCUGUCGGUGUGCGCUGAGCUGCUGCUUAGGGAACUGUGAGGUGAUUUCCAGGCGGAGCUGACCAGUGGGGUUCUCUGGCUGAGGGGAAGACCAGCAGUCAGCUGGUGGAUGUGCUUCUGGAAGAAAUAGCAACGGGAGCUCUAAGAGAGGGAAAUGGCUUCCCUGCAUGGAAGGAGGAGGGGAGCGCUGAAGCUUUCGUGGCCAAGCCCCGGAGCCAGGAUGUCAGGGAGAAGCAGGAGUAUCUGAGCCAGCUGAAGAACAAGCUGGGAGAUCUACUAGAGGGGAAGGCAGAUGAUCUGAAGACUGCUUUCUGUGCGAUUGAUCCCGGUAUCGACGAUCAGACGCUAGAUACCUACGUUGACCUGCCGGAUCAAGAAGAUGUGCCUGUGGAAACUGCACUCGAGAGGCUGCUUGCUGGAUAUGCGAGACGAGUAGGGCCCUCGCCCUGGGAGGGAAGCACGACAGGCUUUGGAGGGGAGGAAGGAGACUUCCAAUAAUAAGAAUAAAUGGACUGUUUGAUCUACGGGU